rnacentral:rRNA from 1 species
AAAACAUAGUCUGCAGCUUUGAUUGCAGGUUAACUCUGCUCAAUGAUAGUUUUAAUUAAAUAGCCGCAGUACUUUGACUGUGCUAAGGUAGCAAAAUAAUUUGACUUUUAAUUGGGGCCCUGCAUGAAUGAAUAAAUGGUUAAGAUUUGUCUUUUUUAUUUUAACAAAAAUUUGCUUAGUUGGUGAAAAUUCCAACAUAGAAAAUACUAGACGAGAAGACCCUUAGAAUUUUUAUUAAAAGAAUUAAAUAUUUUUUCAAUUUUUGUUGGGGCGACAUCAUAACAUAUUUAUAAACUUAUGAAAAUAUUUCACAAGGCUAAGCAUAAUUAGAAGCGGAUAUAAUUACCUUAGGGAUAACAGCACAAUAUUUUUUUGUUUGUGACCUCGAUGUUGGAUUAGGACCUUAAGUGGUUAAAAAUUAUUUUUGUAUCUUCUGUUCGAAAGAUUUUUACCUACGUGAUCU